CCACAAGUCAAUUGAAACCCUUAGCCUAAAGCAAUGUCCUUAGCCGCAUCACACGAGUCAUCGAACGUGUCAUAAAACACAUUGUUGAUGAAAUAAACACCAUAAUUUGACUGUUCCUCAACAUCAUCAUCGCCACUAUAACUCUCCUAAAUAUGGUAAAACACAACGUAUCAGUCGGAGUACUAUGUUCACAGUAUUCGUUUACUACACAAGAAAUACUAAACCUAUGACAAAUUUAGCAAAGAUGCAUUUCGUACAACAACGAGAAAUUACCGAAUUACUCAUGACAACGCUUCUGCCUUCCCGUACAAUAAUAGUAUCGAUCCUCAACUGCAAUAGUAAGAUAGGUGGAACACAUUAAGUACACAUGAUAACUUGGCACCAAUACACCACUACGAUUGCAUAGAUUGUUACUAGUAAUGUCAGUAAUUAAAUCUACUAAAGUAUGAGUUCAAAAUCCUAAACUCUAAGUAUUAUUCAUUUCAACUAUUAAUACUUUACAAAUUAAAACAAUUACAUUUGUAAAAAAAAUGUAAAUAAUGAAUUAUAUAUAAAAUUAUGAAGUUAUUAUCAUAUAAUUACAAUAUUAUUGUUCUGUAAUUUGGAAUAAAAAAAUUAAAAAAAAAGUCGGCAUGCCGAUUGUCGAAAAAUAACAUUUUUGGAACCUUGAAGUCGGCAUUGGACGCCGACACGGUUCAAUACCGUCGGCCUUGGUUGCCAAUGCCGACUGGCCCAAUUUUAUUAUUAUAAUUAAUUAGUCAUUUAUAACGAUUUAUUUGGUAAUUAAAUAAUCAACCGGCGGUGGGGGUUCANNNNNNNNNNNNNNNNNNNNNNNNNNNNNNNNNNNNNNNNNNNNNNNNNNNNNNNNNNNNNNNNNNNNNNNNNNNNNNNNNNNNNNNNNNNNNNNNNNNNNNNNNNNNNNNNNNNNNNNNNNNNNNNNNNNNNNNNNNNNNNNNNNNNNNNNNNNNNUUAAAAUUAAAAAUUAUUCAUGUUCAUUAAGGUGAAUUAGUAAAUAUAAGUAAAUGGAGUAACAAUUGUUUUGAUAAUUAAAUACUUGGCAAUUCAAUAUAUUUGUUAUUACUAAUUGGAAAUUAAUAAUUAGUCAUGUCCAUUACUCAUGUUAAUUAAGGUUAAACUGUAAUUUUGAGUAAUAAUAGUGACAAUUAAGGUUUAGGGUUUAGGGUUUAGGGUUUAUUGUUUAGAAUUUAAAGAUAAGGUUGAGUGUUUAGGGUUUAGGAUUUAGGGUUUAUAAUUUAAAGAUAAGGUUUAGGGUUUAGGAUUUAGGGUUUAUUGUUUCGAAUUUAAAGACAAGGUUUAGGGUUUAAGGCUUUGGUUUCAGGGUUUACGGUUUAUUAUUUAGAUUUUAGACAUAUGGUUUAGGGUUUAUUGUUUACAAUUUAGAGAUAGGGUUUAGGGUUUAUUGUUUAUUAUUCAGGGAUAGGGUUUAUGGUUUAUUACUUACAAUUUAGGGAUAGGGUUUAGGAUUUAGGGUUUAGCGUUUAGGGUUUCUUCAUUCACACUGCCACACCCUAAAUCAUACAUUCCACUCCAUUUACAUGCAUGUCCCAUGCACUACACUUCAUGCAUGUUUCAUGAUAGGUUAUUCUAUUUGUUAGAUUUUCUUUAUUUGUAGGGUUUAGGGUUUAGGACUUAGAGAUAGGUAGGGUUCAGGGUUUAGGGUUUAGGAAUGAGGUUUAGGGUUUAGCAUUUACGGUUUUGGGUUUUUGGUGUAACGGUUACGGUUUACCGGUUAGGGUUCUGGUCCUUACAUUUAAUUAAUUUUUGGAUAUUAGGAUUUAGACAUGCUAAUUAAGGUCAAGUAGUAAAUAUAAAUAAUUAUAGAAACACUUGUUUUGACAAUUACAUACUUGAUAAUUGAAUAUUUAUCAGUAAUAUUUUAAAAUUAUUAAUUACUCAUGUUAGGAUUUAAAUUAAUUUGUAAAUAUUAGUAAUUUAAGUGAAUUUGUAAAUAUUAGGGUGUAUUAGCAAUUGUGUAAUUUUCAAAUUAAUUGAUAGUAUAUCUAUUAAGUAUUCUUUUUAAAGUAUUAAUUCAAUAAAUAUUCAAUUAUUAUAUCUACAAUUAUCAUAUUAAUUGUUACUUAUAUUUACUAGUUCACCUUAAUUAGUGUGACUAAUUAUUAAUUUACAACCAUGAAUGAAAUAUACACUUAAUUACAAAAUAUUUAAUUACGACAUCAAUUUAAUCACUGGUUUACUAAACUAAAUAACCCUAAUCUUAAUAUUAAAAUUAUAAUAAUUAGAAAAAAUACACGGUUGGCGUGCCUAUGACCCCAACUUCGCAGUCGACGUUAAAUGCCGACUGCAAAGAAGGGACAGUCGGCACGCCGACCGUUUUGAAAGGCUAUCGGUGUUCAAUGACGACGGCGAAGGUGGAACGGUCGGCACGCCAACGGUCUUGAAUGGCGGUCGGCACCGACGUCGUUUCAAGGAGGUGUGAAAGUUCUUCGAAUUUCCGCAUCUUAUAAAGAUAUUUCCAUUUUACUGUUUAAGGGGUGUUUAGGGCAGUUCAAUUACCGAACUCAAAUGUUGCGACGAUGUUAGGGCGUUUUACCGUAAAAUGUAGUGCGGCAUAUAGCAACCCCCAUAAGUUUGGUGAUCUAGUUGCAUUGUUCGACAUAUUUAGUUGUUAACUCGCCAUUUUUUUUACUAAAAAAAACUAAUGAUAUUUCACCACAUAGUUUUUGUACCGGAUGCAUGUUUCCACCGAAAUGUCCGCAUUUAAUUAUUCUUACGAAAGGCGUGAAGAAAAGAAGUUUGCUCUACCAUCUCUUCCUCCAUUGUUUCUUCUUCCGAAAUCUAAACAAACAUCUAAAAAGCUUCAUCUGGACUGAAAGACAAUGUUACAAUACUCCAAUAAAUAACCCAUAAACAAGCUCAACCGAAAGAAUUACUUACAUUAUGUGUUGACAGAGAAGCUAAUGUUGGGGUUGUUGUUGCAUUGGUUAGCGGAUGAACAUUUCUUAAGGGGGUACCCAUUUGUGAUCUCCUCAUUGCACAACUGAAUCUAAGCACCUAGUGAAGUAUGAACUGUCCCUUAAGCCUUAACAAAACAAUAAAGCAAAAGGCGAAAUUAACUACACACCUAACAAGUAAUAAAUAAGCCGAAAUAUGGAACUUAAUUAGCUGCGUAGAACAUUAUGAAAAGGGAUUGAGAAACUAAGCUUACCCAGACACGAGUUACUGUGUUGUGGUCGCCGGAUCGGAGAUCAGAGCUGUACUUAGAAACUAGAGAUGAAGAAGCAAAUCGAGGUGGAGUCUUGUCGGUCUACAAGAAGAAGAAGCAAAGUUAUCAUCUCGUCGAUCGCCGCCGCAUCGAUUUGGGAAUUUGACGAGGAGGAUUCGGGUAUGUUGCGAAUUGGAGAUUUGGAUGCUCACUUUUCAGAUUUGGGAAUCGAGGUGGUGGAUUUGGGAAUUGGAGAAGAAGAAGCAAACUGAGGCGGAGUCUACAAGAAGAAUAAGAAGCAAAAUCGUGAAAAUUAAGGAUUUCAAUGUUUCACUUUUUAGAUUUGUAUGUCUUUCACUUGCAGUUUGCGGUUUGAAACCAGAAACCAUAGUAUUAAAUCAAAUCAAACCGCGUGUUAUUAAUUGGGAAACAACCACACCACAUGUUAAACCACAAUGCGGUACUGCGGUGCGGUUGUGGUGUAAAUAAAUUGUGAUUCGACGGUGCAGGUAAACCGAUUUGGUGCCCGCCCAAAA
rnacentral:lncRNA from 1 species